rnacentral:rRNA from 1 species
ACGGGAGGCAGCAGUCGGGAAUAUUGCGCAAUGGAGGAAACUCUGACGCAGUGACGCCGCGUAUAGGACGAAGGUCUUCGGAUUGUAAACUAUUGUCGUUAGGGAAGGGAAAGGACAGUACCUAAGGAGGAAGCUCCGGCUAACUACGUGCCAGCAGCCGCGGUAAUACGUAGGGAGCGAGCGUCAUCCGGAUUUAUUGGGUGUAAAGGGUGCGUAGACGGGAAAUUAAGUUAGUUGUGAAAUCCCUCGGCUCAACUGAGGAACUGCAACUAAAACUGAUUUUCUUGAGUAUUGGAGAGGAAAGCGGAAUUCCUAGUGUAGCGGUGAAAUGCGUAGAUAUUAGGAGGAACACCAGUGGCGAAGGCGGCUUUCUGGACUGUAACUGACACUGAGGCUCGAAAGCGUGGGGAGCAAACAGGAUUAGAUACCCUGGUA